rnacentral:rRNA from 1 species
AUUGAACGCUGGCUGCAAGCCUAACACAUGCAAGUCGAACGAGUGGCGGACGGGUGAGUAAUGUCUUGUACACUUCCUGAUGGAGGGGGAUAACUACUGGAAACGGUAGCUAAUACCGCAUACCAUCUGAUGUGCCCAGUUGGGAUUCGCUAGUUGGUGGGGUAACGGCUCACCAAGGCGACGAUCCCUAGCUGGUCUUAUAGGAUGACCAGCCAAACUGGAACUGAGACACGGUCAAGACUCCUACGGGAGGCAGCAGUGGGGAAUAUUGCACAAUGGGCGCAAGCCUGAUGCAGCCAUGCCGCGUGUAUGAAGAAGGCCUUCGGGUUGUAAAGUACUUUCAGCGGGGAGGCGUUACACGCAGAAGAAGAACCGGCUAACUCCGUGCCAGCAGACGCGGUAAGAC